GAUUAGGGUUUCCUGUUGCCUAUAAAAGUCAGAGAUCGGCCCUCUUUCGUCUUAAAACUUGGAUAAGAAACUCUAGUUCAUUCUAGAGGAAUUGCCGAACAGAGUAAGACAAACAGAUCCUUAGAGCCUGAGGCAGGAUGAGAGCUAAGUGGAAGAAGAAGCGUAUGAGGAGAUUGAAGAGGAAACGCCGAAAGAUGAGACAGAGAUCCAAAUAGGUGUUUGGACUGGGACAAAAUGGGAUUUUCUCCUGAUAUCAACAGCUUUUGCUGCACGAAGUAGGUUGCUGUAGGAUGUUUGUUAGGGGGAACUGCAUUUGUUUCUGUCUUCUAGUUUUAGUUGUAGCAACUUUUCUAGGAAUUAGUGUUCUUCAACUUGCUGGUUAAAAUGUUGAGUUGUGUUUGGUUUGCUGUUACGUUUCUAAAUUGAUUAUAGAGCUUGUUAAAAAGCUUUAUGUACUAUGAACUGGUGCUGAAUAUAACAGUUGAUUUUUUUUUUCAUUAUUUUUAAAUGCAAAAAUCCGAUUUUGGCUUGGAA